rnacentral:rRNA from 1 species
AGCGAACGUUAGCGGCAGGCCUAACACAUGCAAGUCGCGCGAGAAUGGGGCUUCGGCUCCUAGUAAAGCGGCGGACGGGUGAGUAACACGUGGAUAAUCUGCCCUUCGGCGGGGGACGAACAGUCCGAAAGGAUUGCUAAUACCGCGUAAGUCGGCGAGGUCUUCGGAUCUUGUCGGGAAAGAUGGCCUCUUCAUGAAAGCUAUCACCGAAGGAUGAGUCCGCGUCCCAUCAGCUAGUUGGCGGUGUAAGAGACCACCAAGGCUAAGACGGGUAGCUGGUCUGAGAGGAUGAUCAGCCACA